CGCGGAGUGGAGCAGCUUGGUAGCUCGUCGGGCUCAUAACCCGAAGGUCGUUGGUUCAAAUCCAGCCUCCGCAACCA
rnacentral:tRNA from 1 species